GUUCAACUUCAGGAGUGUGACACUGGAGGGCAUGAGGAGAGUGAGACGGAGGAAAGGAGUAAAAACUUGCUGUCUCAGAGAGGCACUUCACACUCACUUCACAGCAAUUCCUGCAACCUGUUGAUCAGUACAGACAUUCACACGGAGCGACAGUAAAGUGUGCCUGCUGUUCAAAUGUACUGUAAUAUUGGCACUGGAAUAUUGCCCUGAUCUGUGGUCUGUCACUGUGGACCGGCUCUAUUACAAAGGUCAGACGUAAAUAGUUCCUUUGAAUGAGAUGGCUUAAUUUCUGUCUGUCUGUCUGCUUGUAUGUCUGUCAGUCUGUCUGCUUAUAUGUUUGUCUGUUUGAUUUAGGGAUUAUAUUUCCAACCGUCUGAAUGACUUGCCACAUAAUUAGUUUGCCUCUACCUGUUUGUCUGCCUUCCUUUACAACUGUCUGCUCACAGUACGUCAUCCGUCUACCACAUGCGUGUCAUCUAUCUGUCUUCAUGUCCAUCAGUCUGUGUGCCUCUCGGCGGGGCGUCGUUGGCAGCAAAGAGUGAGAACAGAGGUCAUAAAAAGUUUCAAGAAAAGCAGCCGAGAGUUGUAAUGGUAGUGGCGAAGCGAGGGCCGGAGCCGCUCAAACAUUCCUCUCAUUGUUCAGAGGCCCUGUAAGUCUGUGAGCUCCCAAACCUCCAUGAAAGGAAGGGAAUCCAGCAGCUACUGUAGCUAAUAGUCUCAGCUAUAGCUCAGGGCUGGCGGUCUCUGUCUUCCUGUCCACCGUCCUGUCUAGUGCUCCUCUGGGAGUGUUGGUAUAGAAGAAAUUUGGCAGUGGAGGGCGAAAAUGGAGCUGAAGGAGAUUAAAGCUGAAGCGCAGAAGAAAGGAGUUAAUAUAGUUCGGCAGAGGGAUCUGUUGCUUUGCUCUGCUCUGACUUUAGAUAACCUCUACGCCGAAAGACACGGGGAAGAGGAGAGAGGUAGGAGUUAUUCUGCCUUUUAAAGCGAGGAAUCAUUAGAUUGUAAAGCCCGUGAGGGAAAGCUAAAGGGAUGAAUGGAUGGAGGAAAGAGGGGACAGAGGGAGCUUGAGCAGGAGAGAAGGUGGGGAUCCAGGACUGCCUUGGCUUUGGUGGUGUGGCUGGGUGGGUGGGUGUGCCCAGCAGCAAUUCGUAGGAAUGGGCCCAGGCUCAGGAAACCGUGGCGUAGUGGAAUAAAAGUGUGUGUGUGUGUGUAGUUUCUGCAUCCAUUUGUGCAUGUGUGGUGGUUCAGUUGCAGCAGGGCGGCUGUACACUAAGUACAGGGCUGGUGGUGGUAAGGGUGUUUGGCAACGAAUCAGGCUGAGGAUAGGGUUACACGCAUUGGGCUACAGGGAGCGGACCACGGGCUUGGGCUGGGCUGAGGCUAGCUUUACAGCCCGAAGAGACUUUGAGCUCUUCUCUCUCUCUUUUUUUUUUUUUUUUUUUUUUAAAUCUGGAGCUGGAAAUACUUUUUUUUUAUUCUCAGACUAAUGUCCCACAUGUGGUGCGUUCCAUUGAUUCCAGGCCAGCCAAUGAACGUCCCCCUCUUUUGAUUCAGGAAAACUGCAACAGAGAGGGCCCAUAGUAGAGCGCGAGUCCUUGUUUGAAUGUCACUGAAUGUCACGGCCUCAGCAAUAAUUACGCCCUCACACGCAACAUGAAACAAAUACAAUCUUGCUCACAUGCGCACACACAACCCAGACGCACAGUCUGUCUGGUAGCAAGAGGGCCAGGGUGUGGUGCCGCUGUACUGUAAGGUGUGUGAGUUCAAAGAUCUAGGUUUAAGUCGCUGGGAUGUGUUGUGUGCUCAUCUUGUCUCCUUUCUGAACUCAGCUGAUCUGGUUAAUAGUUACAUUUCUUCCUCUGCUCUCAUCAGUGUGUGUGUGUGUGUGUGUGUGUUUAAGAGGUGUAAUUGACACGACAGCAAUUAUAAAAAGCAAAUGUGCCUUAUUUACACUUAAGAGGGGAAUUCAGACAUUAUUGUAACCCUUGUGCCCCAGUGUUGACAUAACGUCUUGAGACUUAGAUAGAUUGAUUUCACAUGAGGCUGGGGCUGGAAACAAACUGCCCUCUGUGAAAUUCUCUGAUGCAAUGGAAAGAUACAAAAGUUGUGUAGGCUUUGGUUUGAUUCCUAAUUAUUAAUAAAGUGCACAAUAGCAGAGUGCAGCUGGCCCAUGGGUAGCCCCGCUCACUGUUUGCUCUGUGAAGUGUUUCACAGGCCGGAGGUGUGAAUGAUGUCAGACUGGUAUGUAUUUGUACUAUUUCUGGUUAUGAGACAGGGCGAGAACCCGGCUAACGCACAUGCCAUGUUUGCCCAGCAGCCCACUGACAUAACUGUGUUUGUUUAUUGAUAGUGAGCAUAUUAUGUGCGGAGAGGCAGAUUGCGUCUUGCCUGUGAGCAUGUGUGCAUUUCUUAGUGCAUCUGUGAGUGUGUGUGUGUGUGUGUGUGUGUGUGUGCACAAGGGCAUAGGGAGAGAGAAGAUAUGUGUUGAAGCAACAAGGGGUUGAGAUCCAGCUGUCUCAACAGAGGCUUUUCCACUUAACUGUGUGCCCUUGUGUAAACGGCAAUGUCAAUUCUGGACUGUGGCUGAAGGGGAGAGACGGUUUGAGAAAACAGCCAGUGGCCACGUCUACACUUGGGGCCUCCAUAUGUCGUGUGCGCGAAUAUAAACUCAGCAGAACACACACAAAGCGUAAAAGUGUACACCCUAAAACCUUCAAAGCACCCACACACAAGGCUGCAAGCCACGAAGACGCUCUCUAAAAACAUUUUGACUCUACUGGGGCACAUCUGCUGCCGAUCGUCACCCGGUGACACUAAUUUUCCUAUUCUACGCCUCCAUCAGGAUGCAACACGUUGGCACAAUUACGAGCUGCCAAUAAGUCGCAGCCCACAUGGUAGAACCUUAUCAUUAUUCCUAACCAUAAUAAACAUCCAAUUUGAGAAAAGUGUAACAACAGGAUCGCUUGGCUCCGC